UUCCAUCAGACCAUGUCCAACUUAUGCGUUUAUGCACUACGAAAAUAGUUCAACAAUUGCAUAAAUAGGCAGCUGCUCAAACUAAUUGUUUCUAGACUUUUGUUUUAUUAGGAAAUUAGGAACACCGGUGCUUCAGGAUGAACACAAAAGUCGCAUGUAUUUGUCUGCUGGUGUGUUUUGUAGCAAUGACACACGCACAGGAUUACGGACGUACACGAGGAGGAGGAGGAGGAGGGGGAGGAGUCAGACCAAGCGUGUAUUGCUAUGACUACCAAGGGCAACCUAUUGUACCAGGCCAGAGGUAUUGUGAUGGCUACAACUGGUGCGAAUGCGGCUACAAUGGCCAACCUAGAGAUUGCACUCUGCAGGCAUGUGGUCAGCAAAUAUAUCGCCCCCCUGCAUAUUAGUUUUCUGUUUCCGGAUUCGUCGACCGAACCCUGAAUUGCGGUCUUAUUUGUUUGCUAUAUUCAAACAUGUUGAUUAAUAAGAAAAAAUAAAUGUAGAAUCGCUGA